UGCAGUAGCUUAGUCAAUUGGUAGAGUGUUGGACUUGUAAUCCAAGUGUUUCAAGUUCGAUACCUGUUAUAGUAU